AGCGAACGCUGGCGGCAGGCCUAACACAUGCAAGUCGAACGGAUCCUUCGGGAUUAGUGGCGGACGGGUGAGUAACACGUGGGAACGUGCCCUUUGGUUCGGAACAACUCAGGGAAACUUGAGCUAAUACCGGAUGUGCCCUUCGGGGGAAAGAUUUAUCGCCAUUGGAGCGGCGCGCGUCUGAUUAGCUAGUUGGUGAGGUAAAGGCUCACCAGGGCGACGAUCAGUAGCUGGUCUGAGAGGAUGAUCAGCCACAUUGGGACUGAGACACGGCCCAAACUCCUACGGGAGGCAGCAGUGGGGAAUCUUGCGCAAUGGGCGAAAGCCUGACGCAGCCAUGCCGCGUGAAUGAUGAAGGUCUUAGGAUUGUAAAAUUCUUUCACCGGGGACGAUAAUGACGGUACCCGGAGAAGAAGCCCCGGCUAACUUCGUGCCAGCAGCCGCCGUAACAC
rnacentral:rRNA from 1 species